ACGAACGCUGGCGGCGUGCUUAACACAUGCAAGUCGAGCGGUAAGGCCCCUUCGGGGGUACACGAGCGGCGAACGGGUGAGUAACACGUGAGUAACCUGCCCCUGACUCUGGGAUAAGCCUGGGAAACUGGGUCUAAUACCGGAUAUGACCUCGUGCCGCAUGGUGUGGGGUGGAAAGGUGUUUUUCCGGUCAGGGAUGGGCUCGCGGCCUAUCAGCUUGUUGGUGGGGUAACGGCCUACCAAGGCGAUGACGGGUAGCCGGCCUGAGAGGGCGACCGGCCACACUGGGACUGAGACACGGCCCAGACUCCUGCGGGAGGCAGCAGUGGGGAAUAUUGCGCAAUGGGCGGAAGCCUGACGCAGCGACGCCGCGUGGGGGAUGAAGGCCUUCGGGUUGUAAACCUCUUUUACCACUCACGAAGGCCCCUGGUUUUCUGGGGGUUGACGGUAGGUGGUGAAUAAGGACCGGCUAACUACGUGCCAGCAGCCGCGGUAAUACGUAGGGUCCGAGCGUUGUCCGGAAUUAUUGGGCGUAAAGAGCUCGUAGGCGGCCUGUCGCGUCUGCUGUGAAAGUCCGGGGCUUAACUCCGGGUGUGCAGUGGAUACGGGCAGGCUUGAGGUAGGUAGGGGAGACUGGAAUUCCUGGUGUAGCGGUGAAAUGCGCAGAUAUCAGGAGGAACACCGGUGGCGAAGGCGGGUCUCUGGGCCUUACCUGACGCUGAGGAGCGAAAGCGUGGGGAGCGAACAGGAUUAGAUACCCUGGUAGUCCACGCCGUAAACGUUGGGCGCUAGGUGUGGGGACUUUCCACGGUUUCCGUGCCGUAGCUAACGCAUUAAGCGCCCCGCCUGGGGAGUACGGCCGCAAGGCUAAAACUCAAAGGAAUUGACGGGGGCCCGCACAAGCGGCGGAGCAUGUUGCUUAAUUCGACGCAACGCGAAGAACCUUACCAAGGCUUGACAUCACCGGUAAUCCUCCAGAGAUGGGGGGUCCUUCGGGGAUCGGUGACAGGUGGUGCAUGGCUGUCGUCAGCUCGUGUCCUGAGAUGUUGGGUUAAGUCCCGCACGAACGCAACCCUGUCCCAUGUUGCCAGCCCGUGGUGGUGGGGA
rnacentral:rRNA from 1 species